rnacentral:rRNA from 1 species
GUGGGGAAUAUUAGGCAAUGGGCGAAAGCCUGACCUAGCAACGCCGCGUGAAGGAAGAAGGCCUUCGGGUUGUAAACUUCUUUUAUGAGGGACGAAGGACGUGACGGUACCUCAUGAAUAAGCCACGGCUAACUACGUGCCAGCAGCCGCGGUAAUACGUAGGUGGCGAGCGUUGUCCGGAUUUACUGGGUGUAAAGGGCGCGUAGGCGGACUGGCAAGUCAGAUGUGAAAUACAGGGGCUCAACCCCUGAACUGCAUUUGAAACUGUUGGUCUUGAGUAUCGGAGAGGCAAGCGGAAUUCCUAGUGUAGCGGUGAAAUGCGUAGAUAUUAGGAGGAACACCAGUGGCGAAGGCGGCUUGCUGGACGACAACUGACGCUGAGGCGCGAAAGCGUGGGGAGCAAACAGGAUUAGAAACCCUUGUAGUCC